AUUGAACGCUGGCGGCAUGCCUUACACAUGCAAGUCGAUCGGUAACAGGUCUUCGGAUGCUGACUAGUGGCGAACGGGUGAGUAAUACAUCGGAACGUGCCUAAUAGUGGGGGAUAAGUACUCGAAAGAGUGGAUAAUACCACAUGAGAUCUACGGAUGAAAGCAGGGGAUCGCAAGACCUUGUGCUACUAGAGCGGCCGAGGGAAGAUUAGGUAGUUGGUGGGAUAAAAGCUUACCAAGCCGACGAUCUGUAGCUGGUCUGUGAGGACGGUCAGCGACACUGAGACUGAGGCACGGCCCAGUCACCUAUGAGAGGCAGUAGUGCGCUAUUUUGGAGAAUUGGCGGACGCCUGAUCCAGGAUUGCCGAGGGGAGGAUGAAGGCCUUGGGGUUGUAAACUGCUUUUGUUCGGAACGAAAAGGCCCGGAGUAAUACCCUGGGGUCAUGACGGUACCGUAAGAAUAAGCACCCGCUAAGUACGUGCAAGCCGCCGCAGUAA
rnacentral:rRNA from 1 species